rnacentral:rRNA from 1 species
GAUGAACGCUAGCGGCAGGCCUAAUACAUGCAAGUCGAGGGAGAAUGUUGGAUUCGUCUGACAUGAAACCGGCGCACGGGUGCGUAACACGUAUGCAACCUACCUUUAACUGGGGUAUAGCUCAGAGAAAUCUGAAUUAAUCCCCCAUAAGACUACGACAUGGCAUCAUGAUGUAGUUAAAGCUCCGGCGGUUAAGGAUGGGCAUGCGGUACAUUAGCCAGUUGGUGAGGUAAUGGCUCACCAAGGCUACGAUGUAUAGGGGGUCUGAGAGGAUGAUCCCCCACACUGGUACUGAGACACGAACCAGACUCCUACGGGAGGCAGCAGUAGGGAAUAUUGGUCAAUGGACGCAAGUCUGAACCAGCCAUGCCGCGUGAAGAAUGAAGGCCCUAUGGGUCGUAAACUUCUUUUAUUAGGGAAGAAAAAACGGGAUGCGUCCUGUACUGACGGUACGUAAUGAAUAAGGAUCGGCUAACUUCGUGCCAGCAGCCGCGGUAA